ACAAAUGCAGAGUGAUGUUCCUUCUGCUCUGGUAGCAAAAGCUGUGGAACGAAUUUUGCUAUGACACGUUUCAUGCAAGAUCCUGUGUUAAAAUCUCAGACACAGCAGUUUUUGGAAUCCCCAGAUCAGCUUCUAGUCCUCCCACUGUCAGUUGCUGAUCUUUGUUGAUUGCGGGCCGUAC